rfam:Ictidomys tridecemlineatus contig035570, whole genome shotgun sequence.
UGGGGUGUAGCUCAGUGGCAGAGCACUUUCCUAGCAUGCAUGAGUCACUGGGUUCGAUCCUCAGCACCACAU